CCCUUAGAUGUCCUGGGCCGCACGCGCGUUACACUGAUGCAUUCAACGAGCUUAUAACCUUGGCCGAGAGGCCUGGGCAAUCUUGUUAACGUGCAUCGUGAUAGGGAUAGAUUAUUGAAAUUAUUAAUCUUGAACGAGGAAUUCCUAGUAAACGUAGAUCAUCAAUCUGCAUUGAUUACGUCCCUGCCCUUUGUACACACCGCCCGUCGCACCUACCGAUUGGAUGGUCCGGUGAAGCCUCGGGAUUGUGGUUCUUGCCGCUUUAUUGUGGCGUGACCGCGAGAACUUGUCUAAACCUUAUCAUCUAGAGGAAGGUGAAGUCGUAACA
rnacentral:rRNA from 1 species